UGAGGAAUAUUGGUCAAUGGACGCAAGUCUGAACCAGCCAAGUAGCGUGCAGGAUGACGGCCCUCUGGGUUGUAAACUGCUUUUAUAUGGGGAUAAAGUGGGGAACGUGUUCCCUUUUGCAGGUACCAUAUGAAUAAGGACCGGCUAAUUCCGUGCCAGCAGCCGCGGUAAUACGGAAGGUUCGGGCGUUAUCCGGAUUUAUUGGGUUUAAAGGGAGCGUAGGCCGUUUGGUAAGCGUGUUGUGAAAGGUAGGAGCUCAACUUCUAGAUUGCAGCGCGAACUGUCAGACUUGAGUGCGCACAACGUAGGCAGAAUUCAUGGUGUAGCGGUGAAAUGCUUAGAUAUCAUGACGAACUCCGAUUGCGAAGGCAGCUUACGGGAGCGCAACUGACGCUGAAGCUCGAAGGUGCGGGUAUCGAACAGG
rnacentral:rRNA from 1 species